rnacentral:rRNA from 1 species
UACGAAGGGGGCUAGCGUUGCUCGGAAUCACUGGGCGUAAAGCGCACGUUAGGCGGCUUGUUAAGUCAGGGGUGAAAUCCUGGAGCUCAACUCCAGAACUGCCUUUGAUACUGGCGAGCUUGAGUCCGGGAGAGGUGAGUGGAACUGCGAGUGUAGAGGUGAAAAUUUCGUAGAUAUUCGCAAGAACACCAGUGGCGAAGGCGGCUCACUGGCCCGGUACUGACGCUGAGGUGCGAAAGCGUGGGGAGCA